GACGAACGCUGGCGGCGUGCCUAAUACAUGCAAGUCGAGCGGACUUGAUGAAGUGCUUGCACUUCUGAUGGUUAGCGGCGGACGGGUGAGUAACACGUAGGUAACCUGCCUAUAAGACUGGGAUAACAUUCGGAAACGAAUGCUAAUACCGGAUACGCGAAUUGGUCGCAUGGCCGAAUCGGGAAAGACGGAGCAAUCUGUCACUUAUAGAUGGACCUGCGGGGCCUUAGCAAGUUGGUGAGGUAACGGCUCACCAAGGCGACGAUGCGUAGCCGACCUGGGCGGGUGAACGGCAACACUGGGACUGAGACACGGCACAGAGUCCUACGGGAGGCAGCAGUAGGGAAUCUUCCGAAAUGGACGAAAGUCUGACGGAGCAACGCCGCGUGAGUGAUGAAGGUUUUCGGAUCGUAAAGCUCUGUUGCCAGGGAAGAACGCUUGGGAGAGUAACUGCUCUCAAGGUGACGGUACCUGAGAAGAAAGCCCCGGCUAACUACGUGCCAGCAGCCGCAGUAA
rnacentral:rRNA from 1 species